GUGUGGAUUUAGCAAUUACUUAGCUCAGCAGAGAUAAUGUACCCCAUAAAAUGGCAGAGACACUGGCCAGGGCUGGGCCCAGGAAUUCAGUAUGGAUAAUAUUCUAAUUCUGUGUGACAAAGCUUUACCAUAAAUUUGAAUCUGUAAUUUCUGCUUUGAUCAAUUUGAUGUAUAAGGAGUGGAGCCAGUAAAAUUUGGAAAUAAAAUUUCGAGGUUAGAAUUCCAAUUAUGCCGGUGAUUCACUGCAUAAAACAUACGAGCCUCAGUUUCCUUUUCAUCUGAAAUAAAAGGAGACUGACUCCAGGAUCUUCCAAGGCUGCUAUUCCAAGAGCAGGUUCAUAAAGGUGAUUCUCAAGCUCCAGUGCAAAUGCUAAUAAUCUGGAAUUUUCCUUCAAACCAUCUGCCUAUGCAAAAUACAACUGGGUCACACUGGAAAUCUUCAAGAUAUAAACCUUUUGCCAUGUAAAUGUGAAGGAGGAAAAAAAUGGAAGAGAAUCUACGAUUUUAAAAGGCAUAUUUUAGUGGGUUACAAUAUGUUAUAAUUGAUAUUUCUUACUGUCCUAAAAACAACACUAUUUAAAAUAAUCCUGAAGAGCAGAGUAGCUG
rnacentral:lncRNA from 1 species